GCCGCUGUAGCUCAGUUGGUAGAGCAAUGCUUUCGUAAAGCAUGGGUCACCGGUUCAAGCCCGGUCAGCGGCU
rnacentral:tRNA from 1 species